rnacentral:lncRNA from 1 species
CAAUAAUUACAAUUUAUCAUCUGAAAAACAUGUGUUUAAAAAGUCAUUUUUAACUUUAAUUAAGUUAAACUGAUAGCAUAUUUUUCCUAUAGUACAUAUUUGGGGAAUGAUUUGUCUGUUUUUAGUCCCUGAUAAUACAGGAUUAUUAAAACUGGUUUUGUUGUCUGUUUGUUAAUUUGGUGGAAAAAAAAAAUUACUUUAUUUUGUUUGACUGGAUGCAUCAUUGUAUAAAACCAGAACUUUUAUGAAAUCUUAUUCCAACAUAAACUGAAGUAUUACAUGAAAUAGGUGGUAGCAGGCCAAUGCAAAGGGCCACUUCAAUCUUAUGGUAUUGAAAAGUAAUGACUCAAAAGGUUGAUUUCAAGUUCACAAAUGUUUGAAUAUUAUGGAUAAUUGGUAAAUUAUGUAUGUUUGAAUUUUAUAUUUGAUAAUGAGUACCAUGGAUUCAUUUAUUU